AUGGGCCCUGAUUGUAUCCCCAUUGAGGUAUGGAAAGGUCUCGGGGACAUAGCGAUAGUAUGGCUAACCAAGCUUUUCAACCUCAUUUUUCGGGCAAACAAGAUGCCAGAAGAAUGGAGACGGAGUAUAUUAGUACCAAUCUUCAAGAACAAGGGGGAUGUUCAGAGUUGUACUAAUUACCGUGGAAUUAAACUGAUGAGCCAUACAAUGAAGCUAUGGGAGAGAGUCAUUGAGCACCGCUUAAGAAGAAUGAUAAGCGUGACCAAAAAUCAGUUUGGUUUCAUGCCUGGGAGGUCGACCAUGGAAGCCAUUUUCUUGGUACAACAACUUAUGGAGAGAUAUAGGGAGCAAAAGAAGGACUUGCAUAUGGUGUUCAUUGACUUGGAGAAGGCCUAUGAUAAGAUACCGCGGAAUGUCAUGUGGUGGGCCUUGGAGAAACACAAAGUCCCAGCAAAGUAA
rnacentral:rRNA from 1 species